rnacentral:rRNA from 1 species
AUGGCGAAUUUUGGGGGAGUGCGACACGCAGUCGACUACGUGUACGAUUUCAUAGCACUUUCUUCAGACGAAGAACUACUAGACACAAUCUGGAUUAGGAGCUCGCGCCCAUUCCCUAUCGAGAUUAGCCUACGGAUCAUCCGAGACACCAUCCUAGGAGAUGGACUUGUCCAUCCGUUAUGCUUCAAUCUAGCUGUGCGUAAGAUUACUACCGACGCAGCAGAGAGGAGCGCAGGCACCAGCUCUGUUGGAAAGACACAUUUUUUUCAAUUUGGGAUUCCAUGUGCAAGCACGGGCGCUAAGGCAGACUUGGUUAAGCCAAGAACAUCGCACCAGUGCACUGAUUAA